rnacentral:lncRNA from 1 species
UCCAGACUGUGCUUAGAUAUAUAUUCAUAUUCAGGAUGCUUUAUGAACCCCCAAGGACAUUGAUCGGGUGUUUUUAUUUAUGGUGUGUAUUAUAAAAAGAUAGGGGAGAAAAACCUCACGUUUUUCUAUGUUAUUUUAAAUGUUUGUCAACUCUGAGGUAUCAGAUGAAGUUUUCUUAACCAUAUUGGAGUGCAAUGCGCUUUCAUACGCUAGCGUGAGACUCCUGGAGUUCUUACCCUUGGGUGAACCCCCAAACCCUGUGAUUUUUCUCUAGGGCAAAUUAGAAUUAUAGGGGAGAUUUUUUUAAAUGCGAGUUUGUAGAAUUAGGGGUGUUGUUUUGUUUUGGAAGUUUGAUAAAAGAUGCCUGUUUCAUUUCCUUACUGAAGUGAUGUUUCCCUGAGACAAGACAGAAAGGAGCAGAGUCUCAUGGUUUCGGAGGUGGGGGCCACUGGACGUAGCCCUGUGCCCUCUGGCUUUAUAAGUUAGCAUCAGGCAGACAUCAAAUGUUUUUAAUCCUAGCAUGUGUGGUUUAUUUUUUAUCUUAACUUUUUCACUUUUGAAGAUUCAAAUGUUUUGACUUUUUAAAUGUUAUUUUCUAUGAUUUCUUAUUCCUAAAACUGGUACUAGUCUGUAAUCUGUGCUUUGUAUAUUGUGCCUCUCCCAGAUGGGUGGCGAUCUGGGAUUGCAUGCUGAUUAUCUGUGAGGAAAUCAUCUUUGUGCCAUGAGGCUGAAGCUGGGGCCAGGAGUUUGUGUUUUAUCUAAGCAGGCCAUGUAUCUCCUAGAUGGGUGUACUUUAAAUGUUCCGGAUUUGUUGACCAGAGCAGCUAGGUUGAAAUUGGAUAGAAAGCAAAACUGCUCUCUAUGGGUCAUGCAUUGUGUGUUAAGAAGGAAGGCAGCCAAGGGCACUGUUUCUUACAUAGAUGCAGACUAAAGAUCAUAAAAUGGCUGGGGGCGGGGGCGAGGUACGGAAUGGAAUCUGUUCAGUGGUAUGGAUGAUCUUCAGACAUUCCGAGUCAAAAUAUAAAAUAUGGUAAUUCCAUGUUAUAUGUCCCUCCUAAAGCAGACAUACCCUCACCCCCUUUUGCCCAGAUUUGCCCCAGCUUUCUUGCUCACGAGCACUGCUUGAAAGCCCCCCAGCCAGCACACCUGGGGUGCACACCCACUGCUCAGCUCCAGGGGCAUGUUGUGCCUUUGCCUGCUCACCAGGACCCUUCCCUUGAAGCAGUCCGUGGGCUGUGCUUGACUUCCUUAUCAAGGCUGUCACUCAGAGACAGAAGAGUCUUCCUUCUGCUUUCUGCCUCCAAUACAGCCCUCCUUCUUUUGACCCAGUCUGUCCCAUGACUCUGAGAUAGCCUCGGGAGCUGCAUUUAGAAACUCUAUGCAUUGUUCAGAGUUCACCACUGUAGACAAAUUUACGCAGCUCAGAAGACGACAGGCCCCUUGCUUGAAGAUCCCACGGCAAGUUUGACCUGGAGGUCUGUCUUCAUGCAGUUCUUGGCUAGGAUGAUGGAUGGAUCCUAAUCCCCAGACAUUGUGAUCCAGGAAGGGAAGGCAACCCCAUUCUUUGUUCCAUAUUUAUUUCCCCAAAUUCCCUGGGGUGCUUUGGCAAAAUGGGUACAAUAAAUAAGCUAGACCAUAAGACAUGUUUCUUGUAAGAAGCCGUUUGAGUGUUGUAAGAAUAUUUUCUCUAGAAAGCUAGGAAGGCAUAAUGGAAGUCUGUAGUUCUGCAGAAACUAAAGCAACUUGAGUCAAUGGUGGGAGUUAUUUUAUCCCUGAGAUGUAAGCUUGGUGGCUCCUGAUUCUGGGAAAUCUGCACUCAGCCGCAUCUCCUGGCAUGAUCACAGAAACUGCAGAUAAGAUGUUCCCGAAAUUCUGGGAUCUUACCUCUAACGGGAUCGUCCAGAGUCACUCAAAGACAUUUCUCUUGCUGAGGUUCUGUGAGAUGCCUCCAGCUCCAUCAGCAAAGCUGUGAGUGUUUCCACGGUUUUGCUGCAGUUCCCAGAGGCCCCUGGGGCACGUGGACUUCUAGAGUGCACACGUGAUGAUGUUACACUUUUGCUUUAAUGUGAACAUUCAACUGACGGGCUUGUCGUCAUUGUAUGCCUACAUGUGCCUUGUUCAGAAACUUCUGCAUGUUUGUAAGACAUAUUUUUGUAUACAUUGGUAGAGGGGAAAUGCACUUUAAAAAAAAUCACAAGAAUGGAUGUGUGUGUGUGUGUGUGUGUGUGUGUGUGUGUGUGUGUGUGUGUGUGUGUGUGUGUGGUGGAAGAGAAUGAUUUCUUUGUAUCUCAAAAGCAAAAACGUAAUAAAUAUAGAAAG